rnacentral:tRNA from 1 species
GCCCCUUUAGUCUAGUAAAGAUGAGGGCUUUUCAAGCCCUAGAACCAAGUGGAACUCUUGGGAGGAGUA